CUGUACUCAAAAAGGAAAUGGGAAUGUCCCAAGUGCCCAAAAACAUUAAAAAGUAAGCACAGCUUCAAUCAACAUGUCGCUAAGCAUGAUCCCGAGGCGAAGAUGAAAUGCGAGGUGUGCGGGAAGUUUAGCAAAAGCCCGGCCGCCUUGGCUGCUCACGUGACAAAUAUUCACACCAACCGGGUUCGCCCAAAUUGCCCCGUUUGUCAUCGUGUGUUUUCCAAUUCCUACUAUCUACGGACGCACUUGAACUCCAUGCACAGCACGGGGGAACGACCCCGUUUCCCAUGCAAAUUUUCCGACUGUGAGAAAACCUACCUUAAGCAGUGCCAUCUUAUGCAACAUGUUAGAGCUGAUCAUGCCGAAAAUCCGGUCCGAUUUCCGUGCACACUUUGCGGGAAAGAAUUCAAAUGCAGGGCACACCUUGAGCAACACAUUGUUACCCACACGACCGAGAAACCGUACAAUUGUGUCACUUGUGGGAGAGGGCACAAAUGGUGCAAUUGAAACAACACGAGGUGACACAUUUAGGAAAAUCUGCGCGAGAAAUUCUCAAGUGCAAACUUUGUCCUAUAACUUUCCUUAGCAGUGCUGGCUUACAGCGGCACGUCCGGGUUGUUCACGAAAAUUGGAGGAAUUAUCGGUGCACAUUUUGUGUAAAAAUGUACUCGAGCUCCAGUGAUUUGACCCGCCACGUGGAGGCGGUGCACCCCACGAACAAGGAGAAGAUCCAUUCUUGCGACAAGUGCGAGUACAGAAGUCACUCCAAGUGGUAUUUAGCCAUGACGUGCCAAAAGACGACAUGAUGCCAAAAAGCGUGCAUGUUACUUUUGCAGGAAGAAAUUCGCCACUUUUCACAAUUUGGUCAGCCACUGCGGCUCCAUUCAUACUUUGGAGAAGAAAUUCCGAGUACAAUUAUAGUUUUACAUAUUCAUUAAUUUAGCAUAGGUAUGUGCCUACACUUUGAUAAAUGUGUAGGAAUUUAAUUCGUUAAUG